AUCAACCGUAACAUUAAAACAGGGACCAAGAACAACAUCUACAUUACAUCAAGAACCAAAGCCCCAGUCGAGCACCGUUUCAUCCACAGCUCUAAAGCCGACAACAACAACAACUAUGCCGGAUACUACAUUAAAUGAAGAACAAAAUCCCCAGUGGAACACCGUUUCGUCCACAGUUAUAAUGCCAAUAACAUCAACAACAAUGCCGGAUACAACAUCAGUCGUAACAUUAAAACAGGGACCAACAACAGCAACUACAUUAAAUGAAGGACCCAAAACCCAGUCGAGCACCAACCCAUCCAUAGUUAGAAUCUCGACAACAUCAUCAACAAUGUCGGAUACAACAUCAACCGUAAUAUUAACACCAGGACCAACAUCUACAUUACAUCAAGAACCCAAAGCCAAGUCGAACACCUUCCCAACCACAGUUAUAAUGCCGACAACUAAGUCAUUAACAACUGCUUCGGGCCUUGUGAUCCCGUCUACACCUGCAGUAGAACUAAAUACAGCUAUUUCGCAAAAUGAAGUGAUAAAUAAAACGGUACCCAGAUCCCCCACGCCUGUAAAACCUGAGAAUAAAAGUAAUAUAGUUCUCUUUAAACCAAAUAAUCCGUCAAUUUUAACAAAUACGAUUAAUAAGGGGGAGAUGUCACCAUCUCAUAAACCGCCGGGAGUCAUAACAUAUGAUAUGUCGUCCACGGCCAUACCAGUUGCAGCUAUUAUUGGUGGAGUUUUGGGGGUACUAUUGUUGGGUUUAACCGCUGUAUUAUUGUUUAUAUUUAUCAGAAAAUGUCCUCGAAAUAAAAUUAUAGAAGAAGCUGUUACAACCUAUUCGUCUAUAGAUUCAACUACUAAAAUAACCAUACCCAGACCAUCGUAUACCAGACAUCUCGAUAAUAAUAGUACUUAUCAUCAGGAAAUAUCGCCUGUAUCCUCAUGUGAAAAUUUAGUAAGGAUGAACUCUUGGCGAAGAAGUGUUUAAUGUUUCAAUCUAGACUUCAUCUGACUGUGUGUAUGAAGACAUCGUGUACAGUGUUGUCCUCUAGUGUUUUGUGACUGGUUAAAGCUAUAUUUCUCCUUCAAAUCAACGAUUAAAGCUAUACUAAUCAUCAAGAUCAGCGUUUAAAGUCAUACUACUCUAAAAGACCGGCCCUACUAAUCGCCGACAAGAGUUUUUCAUAUGUCAACAGCACCUAGUAUUGCAAAACGUGAUCGACAAGUAAAGAUAUGUUAUAAAUAUUCACAUUCUAUACGUCAAUUCCAAAAGGUUUUGGACCUUGCUUAAAACAUCUUAACGAGUGUUUGUUGUAAUCGCAAUCAGUAAAGAUAAUGAACAGGAUAAGUGUUGAUUGUGGCACUGACA